CAUUGAAAAUGUACAUAAUUUCAAUACAGAUUACUAAACAGAGGCAAGAGAGAACAACCAUCAUUCGGCAACAAACACUACAAAACAGCAAAGGAAAAUCACACUAUUACCAACUUCAAAAAGAAUGAAAACCAGAUAAACCCAAUCAUAAACACUGUUACCAAAUUAAACCAAAAGUCAACCAAACUUCACCUUCCAAAUCCAAUUAAAAAAACCUCUUUGGUUCCUGCCCUAAACACCAAUUAAAUCACAUUAACCAAAAUUAACUUGAGGGAAAACACAAAUUUCAUAAUCACGAGAAGUCACUUAUCUUUUAUCACAAAUUUCAUAUCAAAAACACAAAUCAAUACUCAAUGAAUCAGAGACAUUCAAAUCCAAUAAUCCAAGUACUUCGGAGACAUUCAAAUUCUGCUUAUAGCAUCCAACAAUAUACAAAUUUCCACCAUUAGCAUAAGAGUAAGCUUCUGCCAUUAGCAACCAUACAGUGUAAACUCCGCCUAACAGAGUGACUUUUCACCCUUAGCAACCAUACAUAUAAAUUUUCACAGAACUAAUUUUGCACAUAACAGACGGAAUCAAACUUCAAACCAAUACCCAACCCAAGAUCGAAGAAGAAGAAUCCAAGAACCGAACUUCAGAACAAAAAUGCAAGGCAAGACCGAAGAAGACUUGAAGAAGAAAAAGAAACAAAAAUUUAAGAAGAAGACCACACCCUCAGUGAAGAUGAGGACGAUAAGCCACUAACCUGGGUCCGUGCCGAGAAGCCAGCAAAGAUGAAGACCCGGCGAGGACCUGCCGAGUUACUGGUCAGGCGGUGACGAUGGAGGAUCUGGGUUAGGCGGCGAGGAUGGAGAAAGAAGCUGCGGUGCUUGGGACCUUGGACGGCGUCGGCGCCGAGGACCUUUGUCAGUCGGCGACCAUGCA